rnacentral:lncRNA from 1 species
AGGGUUCUCUGCGUCUGGAGAACACAGGACGUCCACAGGAAAGUUCUCCCUCCUGCACUCCCGGCUGGCUCUGAAAAUUAUGAACUCUCUUUUCCUUAAAAUAAAGGCUCUAAAAUUGUGUGAUUCCACCUCCCUGAGGCUAAGCGAAAGAGCCGCGUCUGCCCCUGUCCUUCCCGGGGGCUGGCAGGGAGUGGGUGCCCGGCGGUGACUCAGCCCUGCAGCCUCCCAGCCCUUCCCCGUAUGCGGGCAGGUGAUGCGGACGCCUCCGACCCUCGUGGGGUUUGUGGAGAGCGUUGAUCAGCGCUGCCGUCAGAACAGGACCUGUGCGAGGCCUCGCAGAUGCCGGGAGCCGGGCGGUGCUCUCGGUGCUUCUCAUCAAAUCCACUGGCUCUUCGAGAGGAAGCACAUGUCACAGCCCAGCUCAAACAAGAAGCAAGAAAAUCACUCUUCAUUUUGGAAUUGUAAAAUAAAGUAGAAAUUAUCCUCAGGCUAGAGUGACCUUCCCGUCCUGCCCCAGCCACCCCCCACCUCCCAGCACCUGCCGGUAACAGCCCUGCACACAGCCCCGAGACCCUCCGCCAAACCCAGCCCACCACCCCCGGGAGGGCUGUGGAAGAGGCUAGAGAGCGCAUCCCCUCUGGCUCCUGGGGUGGAGGCCUGCUGUGGGUUGGCUGGAAUCAGCCCCCCUCCCCCGUGUCCUGGGCCCCUGCAGCCCUGCGAGGCGGACACCUAGCCACCCCUCAUCCCAGGGAAGCCAGGGCCAGGGAAGGGCCCAGGAGGGGAGGGUUCGCCCUUCCUGCUGGAUGUCGUUCCUUUAAAAAUCCCUGCCGCUGGCCGGGCGUGGUGGCUCACGCCUGGAAUCCCAGCACUUU